AAAACUAUGGUCGAAAUAAAGAUAACUGAUUUGCAUUCAGUAGGUGAAAAUUCUAGUUUUA
rnacentral:tRNA from 1 species